GACGUAGGAUGCGAGCGUUGUCCGGAUUUAUUGGGCGUAAAGAGUUCGUAGGUGGUUUGUUAAGUCUGACGUUAAAUACUGGGGCUCAACCCUGGAGCUGCGUUGGAUACUGGCAGACUUGAGUGUGGUAGAGGCAAGUGGAAUUCCAGGUGUAGCGGUGAAAUGCGUAGAUAUCUGGAAGAACACCGGUGGCGAAAGCGACUUGCUGGGCCAUAACUGACACUGAGGAACGAAAGCUAGGGGAGCGAAUGGG
rnacentral:rRNA from 1 species